CAGAGACUUACUUCAUCCUGAAAAUGAACUGGUACAAAAGAAGAUUAACUGCAUAUCAUCUGUCUUGCAACUUGGUUUAAGUUGUACAACAGAUGCCCCUGAGGAGAGAAUAGACAUGAAAGAAGUUCUAAGAGCGCUACAGAAGAUCAAACUCCAGUUUAUCAAAGACAUCACACCUUGAAGCAGAGCCCUGAGGUGCAAAUGUAUUUGAGGAAUUUUUUGUCCUGACUUGGUGCACCACCGAAAUGCUUAAAGUUCAAGGAAGGAAUGAGAUAUGUUAAUGUAUUACCAAUAAAUUGUUUACAGACAUAAAGACCUCAAGUUCA